UCGGAAUGUUGAACUAAGAGGGAGACAGAGGCUGCUAGUUUUUUAACACAGUAAAUGGUCACAAAUAACAUUCAGCCCUUUUGAAAAUAAGCGCUAUUGGGCUACUUCUAAAACACGUUGCACAUGAUGUCACCUUUUCCCCCAAAGCAGCCAGUAUCGCUCUUUCAAACUAAUUGUCUUUUAAUCACACUCAUUUUGUGAUUCUGAUGUCACAGCAUGCAAUGAUGCAAACAUUUUAUUUAUUUAAAAACGGAUCAAACGGGAAUUUCUUCCGUAAGGGGUUUCAUGGUUUUAGAGUAGUUUUUAACACAACAGAUGGUCGCAAAUAACAUUCAGCUCUUUAGAAAAUAAAUGCUGCAGUGAUACUUCUAAAACCAGUCGCACAGACCUGCUCUGUCUUUUCAACAGCCGGUUAUUGUUUGAAAUUGUUCAGAAUUGCAAAAGCCCACCGCGGGUAUCAUUUAACUGUUGUGAUUCCAUAGGAAGACAAAAGAUAGGUGGAUCACUUAGUUGUUGAGAGUACCAUGCGAACAAGGGCCCAACUAUUGUUUAAAGUGGCCAGUAUCAGCUCUUUUUGUAAUUCCUCGAGAAGGUAAAAGCCCCGCAGAUGUACCAGUCGAGCAGGGUCUCGCCUAUUUUCUGAAGUAGCCAGCAACAUGCCCAGCAGGUGUAUUGCCCCCAGACUUAUCGGCCCCCCAUCUAUUGUUUUUGGAAGCACCCGGUCCUAUAUGAAGCGUUCCUCAGAGCGUGAGACCCUCGCCAUUUCGCGUCAGGACCAGCGCCGGUGCAGACCAUUUUCUACCCACACAGAGCGUUUCUGACAGGCUGGCGUUGCUUAUGCAUAAGAGAAAAGCAACAAUACAACGCGGUUCUCUGCUCCAAGACAUCGCGGGUCCUUUCACACAGUAAGCAUGUGUGUUAUAGCCGGCGCUUCAUAAAUGUCUGUUUUUAAAACGUGACUCAUUUGUUGUCCAAAAACAUUUCCUCUAAAUUUGCAAAGUUACUGAUUUAAAAAUAUAUAUUUUCAAAUUUUUAGCUGGAUGUCAAACAUAUGAUAGACUCUUGAGCAUGUUUAUAUAGCAAAAUUCACAGUGGUAUAACCAUAAAAGAUGCCCAACUGUGCACCAAUGCACUCUAUUGCAAGCUUUUAAACUGUAUGCUGAUAAGUGCAUGAAGUAUACCUUUAGAAAAAGAUCCUGGUGUAGAAAGUAAUAUUAAAUAAAUUCUAACAAACGAUUAUCAAGCUUAAACGUGCUGCUGUUGUUCAGCCGCUGGUUUCCUCUUUCUGGUGCAACGUGGGCCAAAAACAAAGAAGAGAGACGGACUCACGACAGAAAAGCAGAUCAGCUGACCAUUAAUCAGUUUCAUGAUUGAAGUAGCAGCAAGAAGAGGGAGAGAGAGAGAGGCAGUCACUCCAUAUGUCGGUUGUUAAGCUUAACGUGGGAAUGCUUUACAAACAUUAAGAGAUGAACUUACACACUUGCUUUACUUCUCUCUGGGAUCACUUCCUCGGAGAUGAAAUGCCGGAUUGGUAGCGAGGCUACAAAUACACACAGCCGCUCUAUCACGUGAUGCACACUGCUCCGACAUGCUACGGUUAUGAGCUGAGUUACGCCGUGUCGCAAGUUUUGUGAGGUGCUUUUUUGAUAUUUAAUGGAUCGGAUUACAUUUUUUAUUUUUCUCCGAUAUCCGAUCCAGUAAUUUACGUCAGUAUCGGACCGGAUACCGAUACGUAAUAUCGGAUCGGUCCAUCUCUAAUUUAAACCCCGUUAUAUUGUGUAGUAUAAUUAGUAUACUUUAUUUAUCAUCUUUAUAUAUGUAUAUUUGAAGUGAUCAGUUUUAAAAAAUACAGCCACAGCAAAGGUAUACAAACAAUCAGUUCCAAGAAAGAUUUGCAUAGGUAAAAAGCCACCGGCAUACCUUAAGGUAAAAUCAUAAGUACAACCAUAAAAAAGUCACUUUACCAGCUGGAGUUUGAUCUUCAUGAAGUGACGUGAAAACCAGGGUCAGUAGAGUGUCUGCAUCACUGGAGAGGAUACACAAAUAACUGACUAACUGUCUCCUCAGAUCUUCCCUAGCAAGAUCCAGAGAUACUUGAACUCUUCAUUUGGCACUGAAAGUGUGUAAAUAAUUUGCAGCUUAGAGCCAUGGCCUCAGACUUGAAGGUUCACAUAUCCUCACUUCAGUCAUCUUCACACUUGACUGCAAACUGGUCCUCUACAAAUUGGAAAUAACCACAUGACCAUAUCAUGCACUAAAUGAGACAUAAUCCACAAACCUUUUUGUAUUUUGUCGACUCUAUUUUCAUAGAUUUCAUGAAAAGGAAAGCCCUGGUGGAGUGUAAUGUGGACUGCUUAGGAAAACCAACCACUCCAUUAGGGACUUGUCAUUUUACAGGCAUAGCUCUGUGCUCCAGCCU
ensembl:lncRNA